rnacentral:lncRNA from 1 species
CUGGCCAUACGUUCAAAUGGUCUCUGACUUCCUCUCUGACUCAGAUCGCAUGAAUCUGCAGCACUGAUAGUUUUCUUGGCUCAAGAAAAGGAAGGGAGGACUAUUCCAAGACUUCCACAGAGAAACUUCCAGAAAUCCAUUUAACACGGGUGAAGACUUUAAACAACAUCCCUUCCAACUCUCAGACUAUGAUUCAACACAUUGUUUCUCAUAAUUGCUUGCUGUUAAGAGUCAGCUAAGGAUGCCUGUUGAAAAUAGACUCCACGCCCCCUUCCCUUCGAAGGCUGAUUCUGCAGGUAUGGUGGGACUCUGGGGCUCCUUAUCAUUGGGAAGGUUUAAGAAACA